rnacentral:rRNA from 1 species
GACGAACGCUGGCGGCGUGCUUAACACAUGCAAGUCGAACGGAAAGGCCCUGCUUUUGUGGGGUGCUCGAGUGGCGAACGGGUGAGUAACACGUGAGUAACCUGCCCUUGACUUUGGGAUAACUUCAGGAAACUGGGGCUAAUACCGGAUAGGAGCUCCUGCUGCAUGGUGGGGGUUGGAAAGUUUCGGCGGUUGGGGAUGGACUCGCGGCUUAUCAGCUUGUUGGUGGGGUAGUGGCUUACCAAGGCUUUGACGGGUAGCCGGCCUGAGAGGGUGAGCGGGCACAAGGGGACUGAGGGGAGGGACAGAGUGAUAAGUGAGGCAGCGGGGGGGAAUGGUGCACCAGGGGCGGAGGCGUGGUGAAGAAAGGCCGCGGGGUGGAAGAGGGUUUUCGGGGUGUAAAAAAGUAUCAGCUGAAAAGAACGCUGAGUGACGGUGAUGGGAAAAAAAGGCACGGGCUACUACGUG